AAAUUGAAGAGUUUGAUCAUGGCUCAGAUUGAACGCUGGCGGCAGGCCUAACACAUGCAAGUCGAACGGUAACAGGAAGAAGCUUGCUUCUUUGCUGACGAGUGGCGGACGGGUGAGUAAUGUCUGGGAAACUGCCUGAUGGAGGGGGAUAACUACUGGAAACGGUAGCUAAUACCGCAUAACGUCGCAAGACCAAAGAGGGGGACCUUCGGGCCUCUUGCCAUCGGAUGUGCCCAGAUGGGAUUAGCUAGUAGGUGGGGUAACGGCUCACCUAGGCGACGAUCCCUAGCUGGUCUGAGAGGAUGACCAGCCACACUGGAACUGAGACACGGUCCAGACUCCUACGGGAGGCAGCAGUGGGGAAUAUUGCACAAUGGGCGCAAGCCUGAUGCAGCCAUGCCGCGUGUAUGAAGAAGGCCUUCGGGUUGUAAAGUACUUUCAGCGGGGAGGAAGGGAGUAAAGUUAAUACCUUUGCUCAUUGACGUUACCCGCAGAAGAAGCACCGGCUAACUCCGUGCCAGCAGCCGCGGUAAUACGGAGGGUGCAAGCGUUAAUCGGAAUUACUGGGCGUAAAGCGCACGCAGGCGGUUUGUUAAGUCAGAUGUGAAAUCCCCGGGCUCAACCUGGGAACUGCAUCUGAUACUGGCAAGCUUGAGUCUCGUAGAGGGGGGUAGAAUUCCAGGUGUAGCGGUGAAAUGCGUAGAGAUCUGGAGGAAUACCGGUGGCGAAGGCGGCCCCCUGGACGAAGACUGACGCUCAGGUGCGAAAGCGUGGGGAGCAAACAGGAUUAGAUACCCUGGUAGUCCACGCCGUAAACGAUGUCGACUUGGAGGUUGUGCCCUUGAGGCGUGGCUUCCGGAGCUAACGCGUUAAGUCGACCGCCUGGGGAGUACGGCCGCAAGGUUAAAACUCAAAUGAAUUGACGGGGGCCCGCACAAGCGGUGGAGCAUGUGGUUUAAUUCGAUGCAACGCGAAGAACCUUACCUGGUCUUGACAUCCACAGAACUUUCCAGAGAUGGAUUGGUGCCUUCGGGAACUGUGAGACAGGUGCUGCAUGGCUGUCGUCAGCUCGUGUUGUGAAAUGUUGGGUUAAGUCCCGCAACGAGCGCAACCCUUAUCCUUUGUUGCCAGCGGUCCGGCCGGGAACUCAAAGGAGACUGCCAGUGAUAAACUGGAGGAAGGUGG
rnacentral:rRNA from 1 species